GAUGAACGCUGGCGGCGUGCUUAACACAUGCAAGUCGAACGAAGCACUUUAUUUUAUUUCCUUCGGGACUGAUUAUUUUGUGACUGAGUGGCGGACGGGUGAGUAACGCGUGGGUAACCUGCCUUGUACAGGGGGAUAACAGUUGGAAACGGCUGCUAAUACCGCAUAAGCGCACGGCAUCGCAUGAUGCAGUGUGAAAAACUCCGGUGGUAUAAGAUGGACCGGCGUUGGAUUAGCUAGUUGGUGAGGUAACGGCCCACCAAGGCGACGAUCCAUAGCCGACCUGAGAGAGUGGCCGGCGACACUGGGACUGAGACACGGCCCAAACUCCUACGGGAGGGAGCAGUGGGGAAUAUUGCACAAUGGGCGAAAGCCUGAUGCAGCGACGACGCGUGAGCGAAGAAGUAUUUCGGUAUGUAAAGCUCUAUCAGCAGGGAAGAUAAUGACGUUACCUGACUAAGAAGCACCGGCUAAAUACGUG
rnacentral:rRNA from 1 species